rnacentral:rRNA from 1 species
UACGUAGGGUGCGAGCGUUGUCCGGAAUUAUUGGGCGUAAAGAGCUCGUAGGCGGUUUGUUGCGUCGGCCGUGAAAACCUGCAGCUUAACUGUGGGCCUGCGGCCGAUACGGGCAGACUUGAGUUCGGUAGGGGAGACUGGAAUUCCUGGUGUAGCGGUGAAAUGCGUAGAUAUCUGGAGGAAUACCGGUGGCGAAGGCGGCAUCCUGGACCGACAUUGACGCUGAACGGCGAAAGCUAGGGGAGCAAACGGG